UUUCGUUUCGUGGUGACUUGCGGAGGGCGCCUGCGCUGGCAGCACCAUCAGAAUCAUCAUCAGCGUGAUACCGUCCCCUGAUGAGUGCUUAUCACAUAAGCAACGACGCAUUCUGUGCUUUCACACCCACAUUAGACUCUGUCGACGUGUUUCGAUCCGCAUUUCGUGCGGGAACUGUCCUGUUGGAAUGGCGUCGGCCUCGAAGAAGAAGAACGGCGUAAAGGUGCAGUUCGACUCUGAAGGGACUGCUGGCGCACCAAACGUUCAGAGCCCGUUUGUGUCUGCGGCGCACAACACGGUGUGGCCGUACGAUGCCGCGGCGCACAACCGCGGUGGGCACACCAUCUUCACGGCCGCAGCCAACGCGAUGUGUGGACGCCCAAAUGGCACCUACGAUUGUGAUGAGGCGUGGACGACGGAGCGUGUAUCGCACGCUCGCUUGCAGACGACAGAAUCGCCCCUUGAGACUCGACCGUCUAUAGGCAGCGCCCCCGUAGUUUCCCACGGCCUCACGCCCGCGCACGACGUACUGUACGAGGAAUGGCUCGGCCACAUUGCGGCCUACCGCGCAUCUCCUCUGCAGUACCCUCAUCACAUCAUUUGCAUGACCGCCCCGGCUGUUGCGUCAAGCGCGUUCUCCACGUCCGACGCGAGCCCGCGGCAAGCCUUAUUGCAAGUGGCGACUGUUCUGUAUCAGCUGCUAGCGGCGUACCUGCGUCGCUGCAACAAGCAGCCGUUAGCCUCAGAGCACGAGGCGGACGAGCGAGUGCCGUCGCGCGUGUUCGCCAGCCUGCUGGGCAGUGCCGUGUAUAACACGAAUUUCAGCGAGCCGCCCCUGGAGCAGAAGGACACAACGUUUGACUGGGUGGUGCCGACAGGGCAGGGAGUGAGCGACGUGCCAGGGUCCGGAGUCGAGCGCGACAGCGUCGCUGCCAUACGGUCUGCACCCGUCAGCCCAGUGACAGCCCACAUGAUGAGAAUGCGGGCGCGCCAGCCACCCGCGCCGCCUCGCCGGUACGACGCCCUCUCUGUUGUCUCCUGCGUAGACGCAGCCCACGUCAACGUCUGCGUCGGUCAGCAUUUCUACAAGCUGUGUGUCAUGGACAAGCGGGAAGGGCGCUUGCGCGGCGUGGCAUCGCUGGCGGCAGACCUCGAGGCGCUGCACGCGCACCACCUCUCCCUUGGCCACACGGACGUGCUUCCUGGCGCAUCCCCUGCGACGCGGCAGGACCGGAAAGACCUGGACACGAUGUUUGCCAAUCUGUCUUGCUUGGCGGACGAGAUCGCCUUUGAUGUGCGCAGGCGUCUGCGCGUGUCGAGCGAGGUGAACGCCUACUCGCUGGAUGUGUUGGAGUCGGGACUGUGCACGCUUGUUUUGAGGGAGGACGACACGGUAUCGGGGUUCGAGUCUGCCGGCAGUCACGUGACGCCGGUUGCGCAGUGGUUGCACAGCGUGUGCUGCCUAGAAACGUCCCUGGCGCACCCAGAGGAAUGGACAAUGCGACUGCAAGCGUUGGUGGUGCCGUUACAGGCCGGCAUGGAAUGGGUGCGGAGCGCGUUGACGCAGCCCUCAGACGUAGUCUUCACGGGGGACGUCGCCAGCGACCCCAUCCCUCGCGACGCCUGCGUUGUGGCAGGAGGCGUUGCGGACCACGGAGCUACACCCCGCAAAGUGAAUCCCGCGACCCACGAGCUCAGCACACCGGUGGACGUGCGUGGCAACGUGGAGCACUUGGAGCUGUGGCUUCCUCAAAAGCACCGGGUGCCGUUGAAACCGUACGCGGCACCGGUGUGGAACCGCGCAGACGCGCAGCAUCCGCUUCCCGACGUCUCCAGCUGCGCGUGCACGCUGGUGGACUUUUGCAUGUGUCUUCUACGCGUCACGGCGGAGUGGAAACGUGAUGGCCGCCUCCCUGCCAGCUCUGAAGCCAUGCGUUGGCGGCCGAACGUCGUGAUAGCAGUGCAGCCGCCACGUGGCGGAGCGCCGUCUUUGAUGGCGCUGGACUUGCCGGCGGUACAGCACUUUUACGAGGUUCUUGCGUCCCCACCGCUGCUCUUCGCGGUCGACACCCGGCGCCGUGUCGAGGCGGAGGCGAGGGCAGAAGUGGCGGCUCUCUUGAACAGAAGCUGGUACACCACUUCUACGGUGCGCACACCGCCGAAGGAUGGGUCCCCGCCGAGCAGGUGGUCUGAAGGUGUCGAGACGGCAGCCAAUGGAGUGCUUAGCCGCGGGGACGUGUGCAUCUCGUUUGCCGUUCUCCCGCGCCAGGCGGCGCCGCUGUCGGACGUGACGACGCGCGCACCCGCCGUGUCGCGGCUUCUCUCUGACGUGGCCUUCCCCAGCAGCCUCCUCGUGAACUGCGCUGCGCAGCAGACGGCGGCAGAGGUGUGUGCUCGCGCCAGCCAUUCAGCUCUUGUCGACGUCGUCGUGGGCGCGGAUACGCCGGCGGCUGCGCCGGUUGUGGGGGAGUUUGCCGCUGCCCUGGCCUCCUGUAUGCGGGAUCGACGCUAGCACUGUCUAACAUGUCGGGGGCAGCGUGGGACAAUGGACGGGUAGUGUGGCACUGCCAUGUGUGCGUGCGCUGCUUUGGUUGCCUUGAUGGUUCUCCUUCUGGUUUCUAUUCUGGUUUCGCUCACGGUGGAUGUACAUUAGGCGACGAGGCUCGGCCAAUCAUCUUCGGUGAUUGUUGUUGCAGGUAGGCCCGCGCACCUCCUCUCAUUGCUUUUCCCAAUUUCAUCACCCUUCCUCUCCCCGUGCCCCAACUUCCCCACAGUCUCCGUGCAGCGCUGUCGCGUCUGCUUGGCUUUCACUGGUGUGGGUGUGCACGAGUGCCGUGCAUGGCGCGGGAGUGCGUGAGGGCUCCGAGCGCACGAGGAGAUGGUCGGCUGCCUUCUCCCUGUGUGCACAGCUUCCUCCCACGCUUUCUCUGGUACUUUUCUUCCUUGGCGGCUCCCACGCAACCCCUCAGCCUGCACAACACGUCAGUUCUCAUCUCGUAUCACCCCCACCCUCUCUCUAACCAUCCAACCCGUGUCCGCGUGCCACCACGUACGGGCGGCGGGGUCGAACACUCUAAUGCACUGCGUUUCGGACGCGCAAAG
rnacentral:misc_RNA from 1 species